rnacentral:rRNA from 1 species
CUGCUGCCUCCCGUAGGAGUCUGGGCCGUGUCUCAGUCCCAAUGUGGCCGUCCACCCUCUCAGGCCGGCUAUGGAUCGUCGGUUUGGUGGGCCGUUACCCCGCCAACUGCCUAAUCCAACGCGGACCCAUCCUAUGCCGCCUCAGCUUUUCACACUGUACCAUGCGGUACUGUGCGCUUAUGCGGUAUUAGCACCCGUUUCCGGAUGUUAUCCCCCUGCAUAGGGCAGGUUGUCCACGCGUUACUCACCCGUCCGCCG